GGAAUUUUGGACAAUGGGCGAAAGCCUGACGCAGCCAUGCCGCGUGAAUGAUGAAGGCCUUAGGAUUGUAAAAUUCUUUCACCGGGGACGAUAAUGACGGUACCCGGAGAAGAAGCCCCGGCUAACUUCGUGCCAGCAGCCGCGGUAAUACGAAGGGGGCUAGCGUUGCCCGGAAUUACUGGGCGUAAAGGGAGCGUAGGCGGACAGUUAAGUCAGAGGUGAAAGCCCAGGGCUCAACCUUGGAAUUGCCUUUGAUACUGGCUGUCUUGAGUAUGGGAGAGGUGUGUGGAACUCCGAGUGUAGAGGUGAAAUUCGUAGAUAUUCGGAAGAACACCAGUGGCGAAGGCGACACACUGGCCCAUUACUGACGCUGAGGCUCGAAAGCGUGGGGAGCAA
rnacentral:rRNA from 1 species